AGAGAGAGACAUGCGCGCAUAUCAAUAAGCGGAGGAAAAGAAACUAACAAGGAUUCCCCUAGUAACGGCGAGUGAAGCGGGAAGAGCUCAAAUUUGAAAUCUUAAAGGGUUUCCCUUUACGAAUUGUAGUUUAAAGAAGUGUUUUCUGUUGAGGUUUUGGUAAAAGUUCUUUGGAAUAGGACAUCAUAGAGGGUGAGAAUCCCGUAUUUGACCUUUACUUUCAACUUUGUGAUACACUUUCAAAGAGUCGGAUUGUUUGGGAAUGCAGUCCAAAAUGGGUGGUAAAUUUCAUCUAAAGCUAAAUAUUGGCGAGAGACCGAUAGCGAACAAGUACCGUGAGGGAAAGAUGAAAAGAACUUUGAAAAGAGAGUUAAACAGUACGUGAAAUUGUCAAAAGGGAAGCGUUUGACACCAGUGUUGUUUUUCUGAAAAUCAAUUAAAGAACUGUUUAUGCUAAGUUGUUUAGACUUUAUCAGCUAACUGUUUAGUUUUGAGCUUUUCUUUAAUGCACCUUUCAGUUAACAAGUCAACAUCAAUUUCUCUUGCUGUAAAAAAGCUUGAGGAAGGUGGCUUGAGAUUCGUCUUAAGUGUUUAUAGCCUCUUGCCUAUGCAGUCGGAGAGAUUGAGGUCUGCAGCGUAGAUCCUUCGGGGCUAAAUGCAUUUGUGCUAAGUUAUAGCAUUUUAUAGACAACUUGUUGACUAUGAUUUGUCUUGUAGCUUACUCGCUUAUGUUAUUUUACCUACGCUUAGGAUGUUGACGCAUGAGAUAUACGC
rnacentral:rRNA from 1 species